CCUACGGGAGGCUGCAGUGAGGAAUAUUGGUCAAUGGGCGGAAGCCUGAACCAGCCAUGCCGCGUGCAGGAUGACGGCCCUACGGGUUGUAAACUGCUUUUGCGCGGGAAGAAUAACCCCCUCGUGAGGGGGGACGCCGGUACCGCGCGAAUAAGGAUCGGCUAACUCCGUGCCAGCAGCCGCGGUAAUACGGAGGAUCCGAGCGUUAUCCGGAUUUACUGGGUUUAAAGGGUGCGUAGGCGGGCGCCUAAGUCAGCGGUGAAAGGCAGCGGCUCAACCGUUGGAAUGCCGUUGAGACUGGGCGCCUUGGAUUCGGUCGGGGCCGGCGGAAUGCGUGGUGUAGCGGUGAAAUGCUUAGAUAUCACGCGGAACGCCGAUCGCGAAGGCAGCUGGCCAGGCCGAGAUCGACGCUGAGGCACGAAAGCGUGGGGAUCAAACAGGAUUAGAUACCCCUGUAGUC
rnacentral:rRNA from 1 species